rnacentral:snRNA from 1 species
GUGCUAACUUCAGCAGCACAUAUACUAAAAUUAGAAGAAUAUAGAGUAGAUUGACAUGGCCCCUGUGCAAGGAUUGCACACAAAUUCAUGAAACUUUCCAUAAAAAA